AGCAGCCGCGGUAAUUCCAGCUCCAAUAGCGUAUAUUAAAGUUGUUGCAGUUAAAAAGCUCGUAGUUGAAUUUCGGGGUCAGUAGGUCGGUCGUGCCACUGGUAUGAACUGGUUUUACUGAUUCCUCCCUCUUGAAGAACUGUAAUGCCAUUAAUUUGGUGUUGCAGGGAAUCAGGACUGUUACUUUGAAAAAAUUAGAGUGUUUAAAGCAGGCUUUAGCUUGAAUACAUUAGCAUGGAAUAAUGAAAUAGGACGUUUGAUCCUAUUUUGUUGGUCUCUAGGAUUGACGUAAUGAUUAAUAGGGAUAGUUGGGGGCAUUAGUAUUCAAUUGUCAGAGGUGAAAUUCUUGGAUUUAUUGAAGACUAACUACUGCGAAAGCAUUUGCCAAGGAUGUUUUCAUUAAUCAAGAACGAAAGUUAGGGGAUCGAAGACGAUCAGAUACCGUCGUAGUCUUAACCAUAAACUAUGCCGACUAGGGAUCGGAUGAUGUUAAUUUUUUAAUGACUCAUUCGGCGCCUUACG
rnacentral:rRNA from 1 species